rnacentral:lncRNA from 9 species
GUUAGCAUUUAUACUAAUUUAUGUUUGCAUUGAAAUGUUUGUUUCCUUAUAUUAAGAUUUAAUAAGCAUGAGGUGAUGGGUGUCAGUAUAAUGCAGUGGGACAUGAGUUGGAGACACUACAUGGCAUUAGCACAAAAGAAAUCCAUGUUUGAGACCAAUAUAGGAGUACACAAUUAGGUGCUAAGGGACAGGACACAAGCUUGGGUCUCAUAAAACCUCAGAGAAGGAGGAAAUCAGAGAAACUUGUAGUGAGAAAUUCUACACUGGCUGUGUGACUUGAAGCAUUUGUCUUUGAAAAUCAAUUUCUCUCCUCUGUUUCCAGACAAGACUAUAUCAGCUCAUGCUUCACACAACAGAUUGAAUGUGGAAUGUGUAAGACUGCCAAAGCUUGGGCUGCUUCCCAAGUCAGAAUGAGGACACUACAUAGCAGCUUACCCAGGAUACUCUGGAAGGACUCUAAGGGUCUUUUGCCUCCCAUGACAGAGUGAUGCUUUGGGUUAGAGAAUGUCUUUUCUUUCAAAGAAAUACAUCUUUAAUUUCUUGGAAAGUGGGGAACUUUACUUGGAUUACCUGCCAUAUGAAUAGACUGGUAAGAAAUGAAAAUUCUGUUCCUGUUACCUGCAGGAAGAUGAUUUGCUUUAGGUAUUUUCUUUUGCAUUGUAGAAAGAGGGAUUUGAGGCUUAUUACAGAAAGGGUGAAGGUAUGUUUGGUUGUGUGUGUCUGUCAGUUUCUCACAACAACCCUAUCUUUAUUGGUAACUCUUGUCUUUUGCAUUCAUCCUGUUCUUUUUCUGCCAUAAGGCCUUUACUGUCUGAUCAUUUGCUAACUCGUUAUUUCUCUUCUUCCCCCUACCCCUCUCUAUUGUAAUAUGAGCUCUAUGAGAGGAGAAAUUUUUGUCUAUUUUUUUGAUAGCUGGCUGACAUCCCAGUGCCUGGAAUAGUUCAAGACACAUAGUAGAUGCUCAAUAAAAGUUUGUUUAAAGGAGGUGUGGUGGGAUAAGUGAAAUCCAAAAGAAAGAGGUGGGGCCUGUGGACACUAGGAGAGAUAUUACUAGCCUAAAGCAUUCAAAUUGAUGUUUUAAAGAGCAUGUAAAGCAAAAUAAAAUGACAAAAUAAAUGAAAAGCCAGCUGCCAAGAUUCAUCAAUGAGCCAUCUGUUUUUCUUCCUUGAGCUAAAGCUUAGAUACUCUUAACACAUUGUCAUGUGUCCCCCAGAUUUAUCAACAAUAUAGGACUUAAAUCCAGGACUGACUUCUUCCUAUCCAGGGUAAUGACCCUAAUAUUAUAUGUGUAUCUUGCAUUCCUCUGCUUUGUGGUCAUGAUAAACAACAUCUUUAUAACAUCUAACCCCAGUUCAUGACAGGUUCCAUGCCCAUAGCUAUUCCAACAUGGCGGCGCCACUUGGCUUAUCAUGCACAGAACACAGGAAACCAUUAUAGAUAGAAAACUCACAGACUUAUUAAAACCCAAAGUCUGAAAUUUCAUCUUUUCCUACUCCCUAGUUAAAAACAAAACUGCAUGUAGCUAAUUGAAGGGCUGCUUUUUCAGGAAAGGUCUCUUCUCUAAUCAUUUCCAGGACUUGGUUGGAUGUGACUGCUGUUCUGGGAUUCUGGUGAGUGAAUAAGUUCCCUGAGCCUGGGGGCCUACUGAAGGUGGAGACCUAGAGGAGGAAAGCUAUUCAUUCAGAGCUGUCAGCACAUCUUUCUCUAUGAAUUACUCUCUCCAACCUAUCAGGAUUUUUUCCUUUGGUAUAAUAGAAGACUUUCUGUAAGAAUGGGGCCCAUUCAGAGCAGGUCACUACAAACAUAGAUUUCCUUGUUAAUACACAUUUGAGCCAAAGUAUACUUCUUAGUAAAUAGGACUGGGAAAAAAUAGAAUGGUUGAAUCAGAUGGCCUUUGUUUUGUGGCCUUUUUGAAUAGAUUUGUAUUAACUCAGCCAAACAAAAUUACUUUUUCUGUCCUGGCACUGAAUAUGGGUGGCAUAUUUGACAUGGUAACCAGAACAUAUGAGUUUAUUAUGGAAAUGAGGUAACAAUAUGUGUUGAGUGGGGGAGUAGGAAAAGGACAGAUUGAUGUUAAUCCUGCUCCCCCACAUUGAAGGGCCUCCCCAGAGCCCCUGAAAGAACAGGAACAGUACACUAGGUGCAAAGAUCCAGCCAGCUUUGUCUUUUGACCUUGGCCGCCACUUCAAGCAUGGGUUUUGUAAAGACUCAGGCUGACUCCAUCACUCAUCCAUCACUGGCCCUGAAGGCCAUGUCUACACAAAGGCAAAAACAACUGAGUGAUUCAGGCUGAAGCUACACCAGGGAUUUCCCAAUCUGUUGUUGUUUCCGUGGUUUCCAGGCGUGUUACCAAAUUUCACCCACUUGUGUUUUUUUUUUUUUUUUGCAAAUUAAGGUAAAU